GAGAGUGAUAGUGACUGCUUUGAAGAUAUUUUGAGGUCUGGAUUAUUUUAUCGUCAGAAUAGCUUCUGCUAUUGGCCAAAGCCAAAUCCUACCCACUCCAGAAUCCGGAGAGCUGAGAUUCCUGACAAAGAAGUCUGGGAUAGGCUGCCAAUUCGGGUUUUCAGGAAAACAUUGACUGAAGACUUUGACAAGGCCCUUCAAUAUGAAAAACAAGCUGAAAUGUUUUCGAGCCCAGAGGAAGAAGAAAUGUCAACCAAAUGGAGCCACAUCACCCCUGAACGUUAUAGAAACGAUGAGGAAGAUGUGUUUGAUGCUGACGGCGAAGAGGAAAUUCGGCCAAAAAAGAAGUGCAGAAAAGAGAAAUUACAGAUCCUCAUCCAGGCACCCCCACUGCCAGUGCUCCCACCAUUGAACUUUCCAAACUCCAGCGAGUACCAGACCACUUCAGCCAGUACCAGCCAAUACUACACCACUCCAAGGCAUCCAGGCCGACCUCACAGCCCAGCGAGAAGCAGCACUUACAGGCUCAGUCCAGACAGGAAUCAUGCAUCCAGCUCAAGCCAGUACCAAACCACUCCA